AAGACAAAAGAGAGGAAAUUAUAGUGGAUUCCAUUACCUACAUGACUCCCGAAUAGGAACCACUGCUGUCUCAUGGAACGUCAGUGUGGGAGGACAUUACAGAAUGUGUAGUUCUAGGUGGUUCCCAGGAAACUGAACAAAGCUGUGUACCUAAGUAAGAUAAAAAUCAAGACAUACAUUAAGCCAAUGAUGUGAAAACACAAUUCAGCUGACUGAUUUGGAUCCAAGGGAGAAUUUUGACUGUCAUAAAGAUGGAUGCUGCAAAGGAAGCAUUUGUCCAUUUUACUAACAAAUGCUUCUUGCUUUGCUCUCAUGGCCUGGUCAAGGGACCUCACAGAUGAAAGCCCUACCCAGCACAUCGAUGCCAGAGAGAAACAACAAACAGCAAACAGGAAAUAGAAUGUGAAAUAAAAGAAGAGACACCUCUUAAAACCUCCUGGAA
rnacentral:lncRNA from 1 species